CAUGUGAUUAGGUGUGCAGGACACAUGUGAUUAGGUGUACAUGUGUACAUGUGAUUAGGUGUGUAGGACACGUGUGAUUAGGUGUGCAGGACACGUGUGAUUAGGUGUGCAGGACACAUGUGAUUAGGUGUGCAGGACACAUGUGAUUAGGUGUGCAGGACACAUGUGAUUAGGUGUACAGGUCACAUGUGAUUAGGUGUGCAGGUCACAUGUGAUUAGGUGUGCAGGUCACGUGUGAUUAGGUGUGCAGGACACAUGUGAUUAGGUGUGCAGGACACGUGUGAUUAGGUGUGCAGGACACAUGUGAUUAGGUGUGCAGGA